CUGGACGCGGGCCAGGGGAUGGAGCGGGGUGGAGGCCCUACUCUGCGGCUUUGGCGCAUCUCUACCUUUUCACUGGCCUGUCCUGCAAAAUGACCCGAUCGCUGGUGUCUGUCCCCAUCUUCCAGGCCUGGCCCAUUCAUUCUGCCUCUGGGAGGAUGGGUGGGUGCGAUGAUUAGCGCAGGAGCAGGGGUAGGCUGAAUGCGGGUGGGUUCUGGUGCGGUGGGAGCAGAUUCUGCGGAGUCAGGGUUAGAAGGCCUCACAAAGGAGGUAAUGCCCCAACCAAGUCUACAGGAAAAGGUGGGAGUUUCUGUGUUGUGGACGGUGCCGGGAAAACCACUACUGAGUGCUUUAUCUGCAUUAUCAUUUAAUCUUUACUGCAACCCAUUGUGAUGGAUACGUCUUCCCCCCAUUUUACAGAUGAUGAAAGAGAAGCCAUCUCUUAAAACAGUUAAGCAUUUUGCCUACCUUAAUCACAGUACAUGGUAGAAUCAGAAAUUGAAUUCCAAAACCUAGAUUCAACCAUACCUCUGACAAACGCCUUUUGAGUAACUUGUGCUCAGCUUUAUACUAGACUUUCUGAGGGAAAACAGGUAGAAAUCCCAGUCCCUACCUUCUAAGCAGUGCAGAUUUGUCCAACACCUGGAUCGUAUGCUAAAAAUUCAAAGCAAAGUGCUCAGGUAAAUGGUGCAGGCAAUAUGUGAUGUGGAAGUUCAGAGGUGAGAGAGAGCAAUCAGCUGGAGUUGCUCAAUGAAGGAGACCCGUUUGAGCUGGGUGUGAUUUGGAAGAUUGCUGGAAGGACAUUCUAGGCAGGAAACAGCACCAGCAAAGGCUCACAGGCUGGAGAUGUGACUUCUUCCUGUGCAGUUGCCUGAGGGACCUCAAAUAAUGGCCUGUGUAGCCACUCAGUUUCUGAGAAAUGCUGGUUGUAGUGAGGAGUCUGGAAGGAUCCUGACCUGUCCUCAAUUCUGCAGCUGACGGCUAAGACCCAGGGAUCUUAUUUUCUUCAGAUUCUAGAAGUCUGUGCAAUCACCAUACUAGCUCUUCCCUUGGCCUCAUCACCAUCCUGUAUCCUGGAGUUGUCCUAAAUAAGGAAUCCUGGUUUAAGACACCUGAGUAUCAGGUUCUUUUCCCGAGGAAUCCUCUGAUCUUCGUGGAGCAUGGACUCCAUAUCUCUACGUACAAAGGCAUGAGUUUUCCAUUUCUGGAAACAGACCCUGCUGCCUCUAUUUGGAGCCAUCGAGGCUGUGCCUGAAAGUGCCUCCCAAGCUUGAGACGGGCAAGUUCACUUGUACUCUCUGCUUCAUUCUGGAAAUACAGAAUGUAAAAGCAGAUCAGGCCUGCAGACCUCCCAGGGUAAAGACCCUCAAAGCUGGCCUCAUCUUAUUGGCUCUGAGGCCCCCUCUGCACCACACUCACACU